CCUUUAAAGAGUGCGUAAUAGCUCACUGAUCGAGUAAACCUGCGCCGAAAAUGUAUGGGACUAAGUAAUUUGCCGAAACUGUGCGAUAUAUAUUUAUAUAUCGGUAGGGGAGCGUUCUGUUGUAGGUCGAAGUAUUAGCGUAAGCGGAUAUGGACGAAGCAGAAGUGAGAAUGUCGGCUUGAGUAACGAAAAUAUAGGUGAGAAUCCUAUACCCCGAAAACCCAAGGUUUCCUCCGGAAGGCUCGUCCGCGGAGGGUAAGUCAGGACCUAAGGCGAGGCUGAAAAGCGUAGUCGAUGGACAACGGGUUAAUAUUCCCGUACCAUUUUUUAUUGACAACGAGGGACGGAGAAGGCUAAGCUAGCCGGAUAUUGGUUACCGGUUUAAACGUUCGAGAUGUUGAGAAGCGGCGAAAACGCUUUGAGUUGAGACGUGAGUACGAGACGCUAAGGCGUCGAAGUAGUGUAUGUCAUACUUCCAAGAAAAGCUUGCACUGUCAUAAAUAAAAAAUGCCUGUACCAUAACCGACACAGGUGGGUAGGUAGAGUAUACUAAGGGGCGCGAGAUAACUCUCUCUAAGGAACUCGGCAAAAUGACUCCGUAACUUCGGGAGAAGGAGUGCCUUAUUUAUAAGGUUGCAAUAACAAGAUCCAAGCAACUGUUUACCAAAAACACAGGUCUCCGCUAAGUCGUAAGACGAUGUAUGGGGGCUGACGCCUGCCCAGUGCCAGAAGGUUAAAGAAGUCGGUUAGUUUAGGCGAAGCUGAUAACUGAAGCCCUGGUGAACGGCGGCCGUAACUAUAACGGUCCUAAGGUAGCGAAAUUCCUUGUCGGGUAAGUUCCGACCCGCACGAAAGGCGUAAUGAUUUGGAUACUGUCUCGGAGAGGGGCUCGGUGAAAUAGACUUGUCUGUGAAGAUGCGGACUACCUGCACCAGGACAGAAAGACCCUAUGAAGCUUUACUGUAACUUGAAAUUGAAAUUGGACUUUAUUCGCGCAGUAUAGGUGGGAGGUGUUGAUUAUAAUCUUGCGGGAUUAUUGGAGCCAUCAGUGAGAUACCACUCUUGUAAUGUUAGAUUUCUAACUUUGAAUCAUUAUCUGGUCAAAGAACAGUUUCAGGCGGGCAGUUUGACUGGGGCGGUCGCCUCCCAAAUGGUAACGGAGGCGUACAAAGGUUUCCUCUGAACGGGUAGAAAUCGUAUCUAGAGUGUAAAGGCAUAAGGAAGCUUGACUGUGAGACCUACAAGUCGAGCAGGGACGAAAGUCGGUCUUAGUGAUCUGACGGUACUGAGUGGAAAGGCCGUCACUCAACGGAUAAAAGUUACUCUAGGGAUAACAGGCUGAUCUCCCCCAAGAGUUCACAUCGACGGGGAGGUUUGGCACCUCGAUGUCGGCUCAUCGCAUCCUGGGGCGGUAGUACGUCCCAAGGGUUGGGCUGUUCGCCCAUGAAAGCGGUACGCGAGCUGGGUUCAGAACGUCGUGAGACAGUUCGGUCCAUAUCCGGUGUAGGCGUUAGAAUAUUGAGAGGAGCCUUCUUUAGUACGAGAGGACCGAGAAGGACAUACCUCUGGUGUACCAGUUAUCGUGCCAACGGUAAACGCUGGGUAGCUAUGUAUGGAGUGGAUAACCGCUGAAAGCAUCUAAGUGGGAAGCCCACCUCAAGAUAAGUAUUCUCAUCACGUAAGUGAGUAAGGUCACGGUAAGACUAACCGUUUGAUAGGCAUUAAGUGUAAGUACAGUAAUGUAUGUGCUGAGAUGUCCUAAUAGACCGAGGACUUGAAUUU
rnacentral:rRNA from 1 species